UCUCGCCCUCCCCGAGGGGCAGUUCCCGAGGGCGGGAGCCCAUGCCCUGCCCCCGGGGAGCUGGGCGGUGGCGGCGGCGCCGUGAGGGGCCGGGGGCCGCAGCAGCGGCCGCCCCCACCCCCGGCGCGCAAGGGAGGCUCCCGGCCGGGGGCGGCGGUGGCGGGGGGAGGACUGAGGCUGGAAAGGUGCGUGCUCGGAUUGCCGGAGGGCCGGUCUCGACCCGUGCGUACGGAAAAGAAGCUGCCAUUUGUGACGAGCGUGUGAGAUGAAGAUAUCAUCUUUGAAACUUUUGAAUUCCAAGUGCAGCUGGAAAUCAAGUUCCUCUUUCCUGAAGAGAGUAAGCCUGUGAUCUGUAAGUGCCAUGUGAUCUGUGUGUAUAAAUUUGCAGGAGAUAAAGUUCAUACUGGAAACAAAACCACUGACAACAACAGCAAAAGAAUUAAGCCAGA
rnacentral:lncRNA from 1 species